UGCGACGCAGUCUCAUGACGUUACCCAUACUGGGAGUUGAUUAACUUUAUCAUUGGGUGGUUUCUGAAGUAUUGUUUAAUAAUAUAAAAUCUAUAUUUUGGGCGGAGUGUUCUACGCAGCUAGUCGCGGUAGAGCAGUAAUGUGAAGUGCCUCCCGCUCUGAUGCCUCCAACCAUGGCUCAGAUCAGUGAUCCAAAGAUUGCCUUUGCCUACCUGCGCCCGGCCUGUGUGCUGCUGACCAAAGAGCCGUCUGUGACCAAUGUGGAGACAGUGAGCGGUCAGUUAAAAGAAGUCGACGAUGCCACGUUGCAGCAGCUCCAAGAUUAUGUCCUCUUCCCUCUUCGCUUUGUCCUCAAAGUACCCGGGCCUAAAAAGGACAAACUGGUGCAGGCUGUGGCUGAAGCCAUGAGCCACAUCCUGGAGAACACUUGCGUCCAGAGCUGGCAGACCCUCCAAGACCUCCUCUCAGAGCUUUGCCUCUGCCUCUGCUCUCCAACCGAUCCUGGGAAACCUGCUGACACGUCAGAGGAGCUGAAAUUGGCCGUGCUGAGGUGCUUGGACGCCUUGCUUCAUGCUGCAUAUGGUGAUAUAGUUUUCAAACUCUUUGAACCAAUCAUGUUGCCUGGACUGGGAGCCGCCAUAUCACUGCUACUGGCUAUAGGUGAGAAGGAGAAAUCCCGGGAUGUACAGGCAGCAGCGCUGAAGUGCCUCCAAGCUUUGAUUCUGCAGUGUGACUGUACUCAGGUGCAUGUAGUCCCAUCCUUAGAAGAGCGACGUGCUAUCGGCAGCACCAUGGCUUCAUUCUUACCUGGGAUCACUACGGCUAUAGCUAGGAUCAUUACUGGAGAUCUGAGACAAGGCCACGCAGUCACAGUCAAGGCCAUCAAGGUUUUGUCCAGUGCUGUGGAGCUUGUGAUGGAAGACGUCCAGCUUCAGGCCAGUGAGCCCUGCAAGACUCCCUCACCAAACCUGGGUAAAAUCUCACAGCUGGUGGUCCAGCGAAAGCAAGACUGGUUAAAGAGCACGGCAGGGAAGCUUUCUGUGCUGCUGAAGAAGAUCAUCACCUGGACCUCAGCCCACCGGCACUGGAGGGUUCGCCUGGAGAUGGUGGAGCUGGCCGACCGCCUGCUGGCAAGGUGUAGUCGGUCACUUGGAGAGUGCGUGGGGCCGCUGCUGGAAGCACUGGUGGGAGCAGUCAAUGACGAGGAGCCCAGAGUCCGAGAGAGGUGUGAGGUUGCUCUGAGAGACGUUUCCCAGAGGAAUCAGAGCUGCAGCAGCAGUGGAGAUGUUAACAGUGAACGCAGCAACAUUCAGACCUUCACUGACGUGCUUUCAGAGAAUCUCCACUCCCUGGCCACCUCCCUGCCCAGACUGAUGAGGACCUCUGACGACCAGAAGAAACUGUUUGUCCUCAACGUGUUUCUUGGUUACUUAAAAGUCCUGGGACCGCUCGUCUCUGUGGUGCUGAACUCGGCUGCACAUCUGGAGAGGAUUUCCAAAGCUUUGAUGCAGGUGCUGGAGCUGGAUGUGAUGGAUGUUUGCAUCGUGGAGGAAAGAAGUCACAGCUCCACCAUAGAAACAACUUCCACCUCCUCCGAUUGCUGCACUGCUCAAACACAGAGGAAGCAUUUCCUCUACUUCACUGAUGAGAUGAUCCUCUCUGUGCUCAUGGAGAUCUGUCGGACAUUAGGUUACUAUGGCAACAUUUACCUGCUGACUGAUCACUUUCUAGAUCUGUACUGCCAGUCGUUGGCAUACAGAAAGCAGGCCGCCAUGGUCCUGAAUGAGAUUGUCAGGGGCGCUGCAGGCAUCGGUGUGGUGACAGAGAGUCAGGGCCUGGAGGGUGAGGGUCACAGACGCUCUGCCAACAAGGAUGACCUGAAAGCAGCAGUGAUGUCAGUCUUGGAAGAAUACACCAGUCUGAACAACUGGCACUUGAUCACUGUCAGCGAGGAGACGGAUAGAGACCGACAGGACCAACAGCUGCUCAGCCCACCCAGAAUUCUAUCCAUAUCCAACAGUGACGUCAGCAACUUUAAUGCAAACUCUCUCGAAGUGAUUCCUUCCUCGUUUGGCUCCACAUCUCCCUCAACGUCCACCUCCACAAUCCACCAGCUCAACAGCAACAUCUGGCAGCUCUGCAUCCAGCUCGAGGGCAUCGCCUGCUUUUCUCAGGCUCUGGGGCCUGACUUUCGUCCCCUGUUGAUGACAUCAUUGUACUCUGUGCUGGAGAAAGCUGGGGAGGAGACUCUGCUGGUCAGCCAGGCAGCGCUGGGCUCCAUGUGGGUUAUCAGCAGAUCCUGUGGCUACCCCUCCCUGAAGGAGCUGAUCAAUGAAAACUCAGACUACCUGCUCAAUGACAUCUCCCUCAACCUGCAGAGGCUCCACCAGCAUCCACAGGCUCCACGGGUGUUGACAGUGAUGUUGACUCACUCUGACUGCAGCCUGCUGCCUCUGGUCGGGGACAUCGUUCAGGAUGUGCUGAUGGCUCUGGAUCUCAGCUACGACCACACGGGUGCACUUUUCUGCUCGGUGCUGCACGCGCUAAUGAAGGCACUGGCGAGGUGGUUUCCCUCCAGUUGUAAUAAGACCAAAGAGUCUGCCAGACCCCAACAGAAGUCCACUGACCAGGAAGACAUCGACAUCCGACAGUUCCUGCUGGAUUACCGCAAACAGAAAGAUCUGGCAGAGGGCAUUGGAAUAGAGGAGGACGAUACUUACGACCUCGAUGUCCCUCCUCCCAUGGAGUGUGAGGACGUUGAAGAUAACGAUGGUCCCAACGUGAAAGCAGAGCUUCCCUCCCACCUCAGCAUCACUAAAGAUGUAAUGGAACGCUGCAUUCAUCUGCUGUCCGAUCCUAGCCUCAGGCUCCGACUCAAGGUGUUGGACGUGCUCGAGCUUUGUGUGUGUGUCCUGAGUGAGAAGGAAAACGAGCUGCUGCCUAUGGCCCACCGCUGCUGGCCCGCCCUCCUCCAGAGACUGACAGCUGACGACCCGUUAGCGGUCCUCCGAGCCUUCAGGAUGCUGUGUACUCUGGGUGACAUGUGUGGGGACUUCCUGAGGAGGAGGGUUUCUAAGGAGGUUCUCCCAAAGCUGAGCUCCUCGCUGGUACGACAGGCUCCCAUCAGCGCUAAGGCCGGACCCGUCUACACACACACUGUGGCCUACAAACUGCAACUAGCUGUGCUGCAGGGCCUGGGCUCGCUGUGCCAGAGGCUGGACCUGGGUAAGCGAGUAGAAACACAGAAACACCAACAUACACAAGUUUUCCUAGGAGAUCACAACAUCAUCAUAUGUCAAUCCACAUUAUUUGUUUAUUUACAGCUAUACAUUGGUGGUAGUUAGAGGUUUCUAGCCUCGAAAUAGCCUCCCCCCUAUGAAACCAAAUUUAAAUCCACUAGAUUUUAAUCUGGAUCUCUACCAAAUGACACAGACUCUUAUAUAUCUGUCCCCUAAGUAUGACAGAUUUCUUCAUUAAAAUCCACAAAUUAUUCUCUAUGAGAUGAAAAAAUACCCAUUUCACAAACUAACAGAAAGAAAUAAAAAAUUCCUGGAUCUUCGCCAUCAUUCAAAUGGUUUUUUAUGUUUUAUUUAUUUAUUUUUCUGUAUAUCUAUACAUUAUUCCUUUAAAACGGUUACGUUGAUGUAAUAUUGAAAUGGAUAAAGUUAAAACCUUUACUGCAUCCAGCCAAUAAAGUAGCCUUAUUUCCAAAACAAGAUUAAGACAACUUUUUUUAACGAUUAGAACAUGAACAUAUUCAUCAGAUUGUGGUCAGAGAACACAGUGCCGUUUCUCACCACUAGAUGGCAGUAAGAACAAGGCAUUGGGCCAUAGUAUGAGUUUGUAUCUCUGCUCCCUUGGUUUCAUAAAAUAGAUCUGAAGAAGUGAUCCAGAGUUGAAUCUUGAAAAUGUGGCAAGUUAAAAUUCAGUGCAGCUCCCUACGUUAGAUAACAUUUCUUCUUUGUGUGUGUUCGGGGGGGGGGGAGUUUUCAUCAGAGUCACAACCCUUUCAGAUCUUUCCAUCAGUCUCAAAAUCAAUAUUGUUUUUAAUUUGGCAUGUUUUGUUAAAAGCACAGGCAACAUCACAACACAGUCUGUUCAUUGCAAAGUGCAAGAUGCGUACAUGCCAUUGUCCAGUGUGUUUUAGGCUGUGACAUUGCGUGGAUCCAGCAAACAACAGAAAGACCAGGAUGCGACUGAAUCAAAUCAUAGCAAAAACAAUAGCUGCUGCAAGCCACUGUUCUCCCCCAAGAACAAUUAAGCAAGCAACGCUGGCUAAUCUGCACAGCAAUCAGUAAGUUCAGAUGCUAAAGGAAAAAGAUUAGCUCCGACAUGUGAUGGCUUUUUAGAGUUGUGCAGUUAAGUGCUCGAUGUAGCUUUGUUAUUGUAACUGAAAAGGUUCAUCUCCAACGGCCUGGGGGCUCCGUGCCGAUUUGUUCGCAGUGAUGUAAUUAUGAGCUGCUUGUCUAAUUUUUCAUCAGUUAUUAUGUUCAUUAGGCAGCGACAGCUCUGUCACAGUCAUACUGGGCUCAGAUUGCUCCAAUUUUCCAACACUGCUAAAUACUCGAGGGGAAACAUGGUACUUUCAGUGGAACUUGAGUACUUCAGUGUGGGAUCCCUUUUCCCACACUAUAUUUUAACUUAUUUCUCUAUUUCUAAGCGGACAAGUGGAUAUUUUUCGAUGUCGUGAAAAUGCGAUGCUCGUCCCUAGGAAAUUCCAAAUUAACAAUGAAUGCGAGGAAAAGGGUCAAACUGGUCACAUGACCUGACUUUUACUGACAGGCAGGCAGAGUCAAAGAUCCGACUACAUCCGCCCACCCAGCAACACUUACUAACCAUGUCAAUGUGAGAUUCACCUGUUUACUUCACCAUCGAGAAGAAUUGACCAGACAAGCACACUUAUUAAUGACGAUAGCAGCACAUGGACCUGGAGGAAUUGUUUUGUUACGUGGUAGAAUGUGAGGUCAUCAGUGGUUUCACCUGCGAUAUAUUCAGACUUUUGUUGUCUGGUUGUUGGUUGUUGGAUUGUCUUUAAGGUUUCAACUAUAUGUUGGUUUCAGUGUAGUUGGUGGUCUCUUGUUUGGUUUCACAGUGGGUGUGAACAGGGUGGGUGUAAUGGGGAGAUAACGUAGCAGCUGUUUGAGAGGUGGUGCUCCAGGAUUUAGAGACAAAGUCUGGAAUAAAUACCUCAUUAACUGCUCAACUGUACCAACUCAAGAUGAAAACCUGAAAGAUUUAAGACGUCCAAUCACUGUUCUAGAUUCACAGACUGACUCUGAAUUGUGUAACCAUAGCAACAUGCCAGGCCUUUGUUUUUAUUUAUGCAUCCUAAAUCCAAAAUAUUGAACCAAAAAAGCCAAUGUGUUGUUAUUACUGCACUAAUCAAUAUUUAUAUUAUUACAUGUGUAAUGACAAACUUGUCAGUCACAGUGAAAAACUUACAUUUAACUUACAUUUAUCUAUUUAACACAGCUUACCUGUGCAGCUCCAAUCUACAGUGUUUUAGCCUAAUUUAGUCCAUUGUUUUGGUUUUCCUGCCCACAUUUAUACUUCAACAGAAAAAAAAGCUUUAAUAAGACCACUGUACACUUCAUGCCUGGCAACAGCAUCAGCAUUUAGCAGCUAAAGAGCCAUCUGCUUCCCUUGGCAAAGCAAAGCAGAGCAGAGAGGAGAGUGAAUAUUGGGUUUACAUUCACCGGGUGGCCAGAAACUCUUCUCUUAUCAUUUGCUGGACACGUUAACUGGCCCAUAGUCUCAUUAUAAAAACUUUGAUCAUUUGUCACAUCUUUUGUUUUCUCUCCGUUUUGCUGACAACAGCAGCUUUAAGGUUUCUGUAAGUGGUGAUAAUAGAAUCCGAACUAGAAUGGCCGCCCAGUAGAGCGCAAACCUUUACUGAGGGCCAUCAUGCUGCACCACAAUUUCACAAAAUCAUAGUGUUAUGAAGAGAUUUUAAAUAGAAUAGACCGCAUAAAACCGAACAUAUAGCUUACUGCUAGAGGCCAUGUAAAGGUUUCUUUGCAUCCUCAUGACCUAGACAAGUCAAUUAAAUAAUUGAUUCAAAUUCCAAUUUAGGUAAAUUUACUCUUUGGAUUUUUUGGGAAAUUGAAUAUACAUAAAUAAAAUAAAGUUUAUAUUUUCAUCUCUUUAAGACUCUGGUGCAACAACACGACUGAUAGCAUGCCCUUCCUCUGUAGUGAUGUCUGCACUCUCAGACUGUUUGUACAGUACUUUGACUUAAUUUGUGGCUGACUCGGUUGAAAAGGUCUUUUACGAAUGGCCCAAUAUCAAAACAUUUGUUGUAAAGGCGAAAAUAUCACUAAUAUCACAAAGACAACAUUCAUUUAAACCUUCUGCGUUGGUCUGUUUACAUUACUUCAGUUCGUUCCUGCUUUCUGCAGAUCACAUUCACUAAAUUAGUGAAAAUACAUUUUGUGCACUAGUCAAGAUUUUUUAAGGUUAAUCCCAGUCUUCAUAUUUUCAACACUGAAAAAGACCCAUCUGUUUUAUUAUCCUAUUAUAAAUAAUGCAUUUCAUGCAGCAUAAUAUUCAAAUGAAUUAGCACCGUUCCACUUUCUUUAAGCAGGAUCUGUCUCUAAAAGAUGGAAAGCAACAAGGAGACUUUUUAUAUUGGGCAGUUUUAUGAGUUGAGAUAAGUGCAAUUAGGCGAUAAUACCAAAUUGAAAAGCAGACAUUUUAACUAUAAGUGCUCAUUAAGACUAAAGACAGUGUAAAGUUUUCUGCUACUAAGUUGGAUUCUUAGUUAUUAUAGAGCUUUUGGACAUAAUUUCUAUCAUUUAUAAGAAUGUUGUCUUGUCUGUGAUUGCUGAGGCCAGGGAGGAUGGUAUCACUUCAAUGAGAGAGGUUGUACAGGUUGUACAAUUCUGCAACACUGCUUCAUGAUCUUGUUAAAGAUGUUUGAAACAUAUAGUACGACUCCUUUAAAUUGUUCCUUGUCAUAUACUGAGUGCAACGUGUGCAGCAGUUCUUAUUCUGGAUUAAUUCCUGGAUAGUGGGAGGACAUAGAGACCCGUCGCUCAUAUUUAUAUGCACUGGUAUGAUACUCAAAGGAAAGUGAUGUCCAACAUAUGUUAGAACAACUAGUCACUUGUUUUUUUAGACUAAUUGUGCUUAGAAAUGUAACUUAAUAUGAAGCACUACUUUCUGUCUAACUCUGGUUUCCCUAUCAGGAUUAAACCCAGGGGAAAAAAAGGGAAACCCUAAAAAAAUCAUUGAGUGAUUUGUGGCGUGGUUUAUUUUUAACGAUGGAGUCACCUGCUGUAGCUUCGAACAGUAUAAAAGCAUUUUAACAUUUUAGUUGAUACCCCCAUAUGAAUUAAUAAUAUAGUGAAACAAAUAAUUUCCCUGUCACAUUAAAGGAAAUGGUCCAGUUUAUGCUUUUAAGAUCCAGAUUUUUCGUCCUGGCAUUUGAUGCUGUUCGCUAUCAUAUCAGGGAGGGAGAGAUUUGGAGUUGGCGAAUGGAGAGAAUGUGAAAGAGCAGGAGAGAAACAGUCAGUGGCUGCAGCCUUACUCAUGUGAAUACCGAUUUGGCUACAGCUUACCUCUGGGACGCCUGCGGCAAGCCAAUUACCGAGCCUCAGUCACAGGGAGAGGAAGACAGAAACACCAACUGACUGAAGCAAAUAAUACGUUUUAGCUCUAAUUGUAGCUUCAGCUCCAAUUCCGCCCUGUUGUUCAUUUAGCACAGAUCCUAACAGCACCUGGUCCUCUCCUGUUUAGUAUUUCUCACCGCUGCCCUCCAAGCACCCCGAUUCCACAAAAGACUUCACACUGAGAGUGCAGCAGCAGAGAGGGGAGGAAGAAAGGGGAUAAAAGCAGUGGCUAAAUAAUCCCGUUUCACUCUGAAAUGUGCACUGCUGCUUUUAUUCUUGACACACAGUGAGCAGGCCCGGUUCAAGCCGAGUGUGAAUUGAAUUGGCAAACAGAGUAAGCAGCGCAGGAGAGAAGGAGACAUGUUUUGAAAUGAAGCUUGAAAAGCAGCCCAGUUUGCAGCUCAGGGAAUCACUAAAAGUCUGCUGGGAAGGAUGGAGAGAGCAUGCAAAGGAGAGAGAGGGAUAGGAAGAGGAGGACCGGAGUUGAUAGAGGGAGCGCGAGCUGGCAAGGUUAUGGAAGUUCCAGUCAGGGAUGGGGAGAAAAGAGAGGCGAGGCAGGUUCUCAGGUGUGAAAUCCAGAAAUGUGGAAACAGCCUGCCACGCUUUUCUCAGCCGUCUCAGCAGUUUCCCUCAGCUCAUUAGAAAAGCUGAAGCAGAUCUGGAUGCAGUGACUGACGCCUGUCUGCCCUACCUGAGCUGCAGACAACCCAUCCGUCUGCAAGAGGCCUGUCUAAG